rnacentral:rRNA from 1 species
UACGUAGGGGGCAAGCGUUGUCCGGAUUUAUUGGGCGUAAAGAGCGUGUAGGCGGUCAGGUAGGUCCGUUGUGAAAACUCGAGGCUCAACCUCGAGACGCCGAUGGAAACCAUCUGACUAGAGUCCGGAAGAGGAGAGUGGAAUUCCGGGUGUAGCGGUGGAAUGCGUAGAGAUCCGGAAGAACACCGGUGGCGAAGGCGGCCUGCUGGGCAGUGGCUGACACUGAGGCGCGACAGCGUGGGGAGCAAACAGG